rnacentral:rRNA from 1 species
UAAGCCAUGCAAGUUGAAUGGGAUACCUAAAUUUUCCAUAGCAAACUGCUCAGUAACACAUGAUCAACUUGCCCUAUGGAGAAAAAUAACCUCGGGAAACUGAGGAUAAUAUUUCAUAGUUGAAUAGGCUUGGAAAAGUUUUUCAAUGAAAAGGAAAAGAUAAAUGGUUCUUUUCUGCCAUAGGAUAGGAUCGUGGUCGAUUAUGGUAGUUGGUGAGGUAAUGGCUCACCAAGCCGAUAAUCGAUAGGGGCCGUGAGAGCGGGAGCCCCGAGAUGGGUACUGAGACACCGACCCAGACCUUACGAGGUGCAGCAGGCGCGAGACCUCCGCAAUACACGAAAGUGUGACGGGGUUACCCAAAGUGUUCAUUUUUGAACUGUGGUAGGUGAGUAAUGUCCCCUACUAGAAAGGAGAGGGCAAGGCUGGUGCCAGCCACCGCGGUAAAACCAGCUCUUCAAGUGGUCGGGAUGAUUAUUGGGCUUAAAGUGUCCGUAGCCGGUUUAGUAAGUUCCUGGUAAAAUCAGGUAGCUUAACUAUCUGUAUGCUAGGAAUACUACUAUACUAGAGGGCGGGAGAGGUCUGAGGUACUACAGGGGUAGGGGUGAAAUCUUAUAUCCU